AUGGAGCCGACCUUGAAAUACCACCCUUUAAUGUUUGAUGUUCUAACGUGGACCCGUGAUCCGGGUUGCGGACAGUGUCUGGUGGGUAGUUUGACUGGGGCGGUCUCCUCCUAAAGAGUAACGGAGGAGCACGAAGGUUGGCUAAUCCUGGUCGGACAUCAGGAGGUUAGUGCAAUGGCAUAAGCCAGCUUGACUGCGAGCGUGACGGCGCGAGCAGGUGCGAAAGCAGGUCAUAGUGAUCCGGUGGUUCUGAAUGGAAGGGCCAUCGCUCAACGGAUAAAAGGUACUCCGGGGAUAACAGGCUGAUACCGCCCAAGAGUUCAUAUCGACGGCGGUGUUUGGCACCUCGAUGUCGGCUCAUCACAUCCUGGGGCUGAAGUAGGUCCCAAGGGUAUGGCUGUUCGCCAUUUAAAGUGGUACGCGAGCUGGGUUUAGAACGUCGUGAGACAGUUCGGUCCCUAUCUGCCGUGGGCGCUGGAGAACUGAGGGGGGCUGCUCCUAGUACGAGAGGACCGGAGUGGACGCAUCACUGGUGUUCGGGUUGUCAUGCCAAUGGCACUGCCCGGUAGCUAAAUGCGGAAGAGAUAAGUGCUGAAAGCAUCUAAGCACGAAACUUGCCCCGAGAUGAGUUCUCCCUGACUCCUUGAG
rnacentral:rRNA from 1 species